rnacentral:tRNA from 1 species
GGAGAGGUGGCCGAGUGGUCCAAGGCGCUGCAUACUCGAUGCAGUCUGUUUCUCAAGACAGUCGUGGGUUCGAAUCCCUCCCUCUCCC